rnacentral:rRNA from 1 species
CCUACGGGGGGCUGCAGUGGGGAAUAUUGGACAAUGGGCGAAAGCCUGAUCCAGCCAUGCCGCGUGUGUGAAGAAGGCCUUCGGGUUGUAAAGCACUUUCAGUGGGGAAGAAAGCCUUGGGGCUAAUACCCUCGAGGAAGGACAUCACCCACAGAAGAAGCACCGGCUAACUCCGUACCAGCAGCCGCGGUAAUACGGAGGGUGCGAGCGUUAAUCGGAAUUACUGGGCGUAAAGCGCGCGUAGGCGGUCUGAUAAGCCGGUUGUGAAAGCCCCGGGCUCAACCUGGGAACGGCAUCCGGAACUGUCAGGCUAGAGUGCAGGAGAGGAAGGUAGAAUUCCCGGUGUAGCGGUGAAAUGCGUAGAGAUCGGGAGGAAUACCAGUGGCGAAGGCGGCCUUCUGGACUGACACUGACGCUGAGGUGCGAAAGCGUGGGUAGCAAACAGGAUUAGAUACCCGAGUGUC